rnacentral:rRNA from 1 species
UGGGGAAUUUUGGACAAUGGGCGAAAGCCUGAUCCAGCAAUGCCGCGUGUGUGAAGAAGGCCUUCGGGUUGUAAAGCACUUUUGUCCGGAAAGAAAUCCUUGGCUCUAAUACAGUCGGGGGAUGACGGUACCGGAAGAAUAAGCACCGGCUAACUACGUGCCAGCAGCCGCGGUAAUACGUAGGGUGCAAGCGUUAAUCGGAAUUACUGGGCGUAAAGCGUGCGCAGGCGGUUUGCUAAGACCGAUGUGAAAUCCCCGGGCUCAACCUGGGAACUGCAUUGGUGACUGGCAGGCUAGAGUACGGCAGAGGGGGGUAGAAUUCCACGUGUAGCAGUGAAAUGCGUAGAGAUGUGGAGGAAUACCGAUGGCGAAGGCAGCCCCCUGGGCCAAAUACUGACGCUCAUGCACGAAAAGCGUGGGGGAGCAAAACAGGAUUAGAUACCCUGGUAGUCCACGCCCUAAAACGAUGUCAACUAGUUGUUGGGGAUUCAUUUCCUUAGUAACGUAGCUAACGCGUGAAGUUGACCGCCUGGGGAGUACGGUCGCAAGAUUAAAAACUCAAAGGAAUUGACGGGGUCAUAGCUGUUUCCU